rnacentral:rRNA from 1 species
UAGGGAAUCUUCUGCAAUGGACGAAAGUCUGACCGAGCAACGCCGCGUGAGUGAAGAAGGUUUUCGGAUCGUAAAACUCUGUUGUUAGAGAAGAACAAGGACGUUAGUAACUGAACGUCCCCUGACGGUAUCUAACCAGAAAGCCACGGCUAACUACGUGCCAGCAGCCGCGGUAAUACGUAGGUGGCAAGCGUUGUCCGGAUUUAUUGGGCGUAAAGCGAGCGCAGGCGGGUUCUUAAGUCUGAUGUGAAAGCCCCCGGCUCAACCGGGGAGGGUCAUUGGAAACUGGGAGACUGGAGUGCAGAGGAGGGGAGUGGAAUUCCAUGUGUAGCGAUGAAAUGCGUAGAUAUAUGGAGGAACACCGGUGGCGAAGGCGGCUCUCUGGUCUGUAACUGACGCUGAGGCUCGAAGGCGUGGGGAGCAAACAGG